rnacentral:rRNA from 1 species
AGCGAACGCUGGCGGCAGGCUUAACACAUGCAAGUCGAGCGGGCACUUCGGUGUCAGCGGCAGACGGGUGAGUAACACGUGGGAACGUACCCUUUGGUUCGGAAUAACGCUGGGAAACUAGCGCUAAUACCGGAUACGCCCUUUUGGGGAAAGGCUUGCUGCCGAAGGAUCGGCCCGCGUCUGAUUAGCUAGUUGGUGGGGUAAUGGCCUACCAAGGCGACGAUCAGUAGCUGGUCUGAGAGGAUGAUCAGCCACACUGGGACUGAGACACGGCCCAGACUCCUACGGGAGGCAGCAGUGGGGAAUAUUGGACAAUGGGCGCAAGCCUGAUCCAGCCAUGCCACGUGAGUGAUGAAGGCCUUAGGGUUGUAAAGCUCUUUUGUCCGGGACGAUAAUGACGGUACCGGAAGAAUAAGCCCCGGCUAACUUCGUG